rnacentral:rRNA from 1 species
GAUGAACGCUGGCGGCGUGCCUAAUACAUGCAAGUCGAGCGAACGGACGAGAAGCUUGCUUCUCUGAUGUUAGCGGCGGACGGGUGAGUAACACGUGGAUAACCUACCUAUAAGACUGGGAUAACUUCGGGAAACCGGAGCUAAUACCGGAUAAUAUUUUGAACCGCAUGGUUCAAAAGUAAAAGACGGUCUUGCUGUCACUUAUAGAUGGAUCCGCGCUGCAUUAGCUAGUUGGUAAGGUAACGGCUUACCAAGGCAACGAUGCAUAGCCGACCUGAGAGGGUGAUCGGCCACACUGGAACUGAGACACGGUCCAGUCUCCUACGGGAGGCAGCAGUAGGGAAUCUUCCGCAAUGGGCGAAAGCCUGACGGAGCAACGCCGCGUGAGUGAUGAAGGUCUUCGGAUCGUAAAACUCUGUUAUUAGGGAAGAACAUAUGUGUAAGUAACUGUGCACAUCUUGACGGUACCUAAUCAGAAAGCCACGGCUAACUACGUG